rnacentral:lncRNA from 1 species
AUGGAUGCACUAGACAGUUCUGGGCCAGGCCAAUGCCAGGAGCCAGGAACUAGGAACUCCGUCCGGGUCUCCCACGUGGGUGCAGGGACCCAAGCACCUGGCCGUCCUCCACUGCCUCCCCAGGGCAUUAGCAGGGAGCUGGGCGGGAAGUGGAGCAGCCGGGACUCGAACCAUGGGCCACCUGUCCCACUGCGCCCUGACGCUGGCCCCCACAGACACGGCCAAAAGCCGCCUGCGACGCCUGCUCACCUCCGAUCCAGUGACGCCCUGGGAAAGCAGCGGAAGACGGCCCGAGUCCUUGGGCCCUGCCACCGCGUGGGAGACCCUGAGAAAGCUCCUGGCUCCCGGCUCCGGCCUGGUUCUGCCUCGGCCAUUGCAGUCGCCUGGGGCGUGAGAUCCCCCUCUCUCCGGAACUGUGCCUUUCAAACAAGUAGCUCGGCCUUUAAGAACAGAAGAGCGCUUGGGGGUGGCUCUGCAGUGCGGUGGCCACGACGGCGCGGGACGUGCCCAGCCCACGCUGCAGGGCCUGGGUCUGAGUCAGCUCUGCUCGCUCCGGCCUCCUGCGAACGCGCACGCGCACGCGCACGCAGCAGGCAGCAGGCAGCAGAGACGGCGCAAGUCCUGGGGUCCCCGCCACCACGAGGGGCCCCGGCAGAGUUCCUGGCUCCUGGCUGUGCAGGCAUCUGGGGAGUGAAGGAGCACAUGGGUGAACCCCCCCCCCUUCAAAUAAAUACAAACACAAUGUUGUCAAGGGCUCAGUGGGCGCGGAGCCCGCAGCGCCACGCCGAGGUUUCCGCUCAAAGCCACCGAACACCGCCGUUCAAGCAAACCCGUGCGCAGACGUCGUGGGAGCAGCCGCAGCGCCUCCCAGGGGCCGGGGCCCAGCCCCGAGUAGCACUCAGCCCUGAAAAGCCCCCAGGCCGCGCGUGCUGCAACCCGGGUGCGGGACCCAGAAGGCUCCGCCCACGCGGAAUGCCGGCUGAGAGACGGGAAGCAGGCUGCGGACUGCCCCGCAGCCGGGUGGUUCCCUUGGGGCGGUGGAAGCUUCUGGAACCAGCCAGCCGUGAUGGCUGCACAACACUGCGGCGAGGCUAA